AAUCGAUAAUACUAAACCACCCGCGAGGGUGGGACGGAAAGCCUAAAGGGUCUUCACGAGACAGUCAGGUUGCCGAA
rnacentral:ncRNA from 1 species